GUGGCAUUUGUUCGGAUUUCAGCUCUUUCUUCUCUUUUCGGACAUCCUCAUCGGUGAAUGCAGCUCACAUAUUGCCAUUGCCCGAUGAGUUAUGGCUUAAUUGUGAUGUCAGCGUCGGUGGAUGUGGAUGAGGGUGGGGAUGCGGAUGAGGUGGCUGCCCAUCGAGCCAUACAACUUGUUUGACAGUGCCCAUCCAAUGCCGCCAAGUUCUGCAAAUUGGAGUUCCUGUGCAGCGUCUCACCACCGCCGAUGCCGAUAUACCCUUCAUGUUCCACUGGAUAAGCAGCCAGCGGGAAUCCACCACUUAGAAAAAAUAUUAAACCCAACUUUUUCAUGGUAAUAUUGGAAACUUAUGUGAGAAAUACCAAGAAAGCGUUCUUUUUAUAAUCGCCACAUAUAUAUUAAAAUAUAAACUAGCCUAGGAAAAGAUAUACAAAAAUUUAUGUUUUUUAAAUCACAAUAAUAGUUUGAACAAUA